CAAUAGCGUAUAUUAAAGUUGUUGCAGUUAAAAAGCUCGUAGUUGGAUUUGUGGUGUACUUCGGCGGCCCGUCACUAUGUGAUGGAGCUUGCUGAAGUCGCCAUCCUUGGGUGGAUCCUGUGUGGCAUUAAGUUGUCGUGCAGGGGAUGCCCAUCGUUUACUGUGAAAAAAUUAGAGUGUUCAAAGCAGGCUUAUGCCGUUGAAUAUAUUAGCAUGGAAUAAUAAGAUAGGACCUUGGUACUAUUUUGUUGGUUUGCGCACCAAGGUAAUGAUUAAUAGGGACAGUUGGGGGUAUUCGUAUUUCAUUGCCAGAGGUGAAAUUCUUGGAUUUUUGAAAGACGAACUACUGCGAAAGCAUUUACCAAGGAUGUUUUCAUUAAU
rnacentral:rRNA from 1 species